AUGCCACCGGCUGGAAUCAUCAACUGGGAGUCGUUUGCUGUAGGAACCGAGCUGCUGGUGUUUGGGGGCUACGGAAGGUUUGCCUUGAGAUAUAGCAUCCUUACCAAUUCAUGGACAUGGCUGGCUGAUGCUGAUGUGAUGAACACCCCGCGGUUUGGGUUUGGGUCAGCAAGUGUCGGUGGAAAGGUGUAUGUCGCGGGAGGCUUUGAUUCUUCGCAUAGUGUAAUGAGCUCCGCAGAGAUGUAUGACUCAGAGGCGCAUACUUGGACACCCCUUCCCAGCAUGAAUAGGGCUAGGUGCAGAUGCUCUGUCGCAUUCAUGGACGGCAUGUUCUAUGUCAUCGGUGGUAGUAGCAGUAGCGGUGAGGUAUUGACAUGUGGUGAGGAGUAUGACCUGAACCGACAUUCAUGGAGGGUCAUCGACAACAUGUCUCUGGGGCUCAACCAGACAAGAACGGGAGCUCUUCCGCUCAUUGCAGUUGUGAACAACGAGCUUUAUGGCGCUGAUUACGGUGAGAUAAUGAUUUGA
rnacentral:rRNA from 1 species